AACGCGAAGAACCUUACCUGGGCUCGAAAUGUACAGGAAUACGGUAGAAAUAUCGUCGCCUAGCAAUAGGUCUGUAUAUAGGUGCUGCAUGGCUGUCGUCAGCUCGUGUCGUGAGAUGUUGGGUUAAGUCCCGCAACGAGCGCAACCCUUACCUCUAGUUGCCACCACGCAAGUGGGGAACUCUAGCGGAACCGCUUCGGAUAACGGAGAGGAAGGUGGGGAUGACGUCAAGUCCUCAUGGCCUUUAUGUCCAGGGCUACACACGUGCUACAAUGGCCGGUACAAACCGCUGCGAACCCGCGAGGGGGAGCCAAUCGGAAAAAGCCGGCCUCAGUUCGGAUUGGAGUCUGCAACUCGACUCCAUGAAGCUGGAAUCGCUAGUAAUCGUGGAUCAGCAUGCCACGGUGAAUACGUUCCCGGGCCUUGUACACACCGAGACGAC
rnacentral:rRNA from 1 species